ACCCUUUCUCGGCCUUCUGGCCAGGAUAAAGUGUAGUAUAUGUUCUUAUCAGUUCAGCGGUUAUAAGAGUGAUAGUUUGAACAAUAACGUGUCAUUGUUCAAACUAUCAUUCUUAUAACCUCAA
rnacentral:snRNA from 1 species